AUUCCAGCUCCAAUAGCGUAUAUUUAAGUUGUUGCGGUUAAAAAGCUCGUAGUUGGAUUUCGGGCGUGGAGGUUCGGUCCGCCGUUUCGGUGUGCACUGUCUUUCUGCGUCUUUCUGUCGGGGACGCGCUUCUGGCCUUAAUUGGCUGGGACGUGGAUUCGACGAGGUUACUUUGAAAAAAUUAGAGUGUUCAAAGCAAGCUAAAGCUCUGAAUACAUUAGCAUGGAAUAACGCGAGAGGACUCGGUCCUUAUUUUGUUGGUCUUCGAGGAUGGAGUAAUGAUUAAUAGGGAUAGUUGGGGGCGUUUAUAUUCCAUUGUCAGAGGUGAAACUCUUGGAUUUAUGGAAGAUAAACUACUGCGAAAGCAUUUGCCAGGGAUGUUUUCAUCA
rnacentral:rRNA from 1 species